rnacentral:tRNA from 2 species
UGGCCGAUGGUGUAAUUGGCAACACGUCUCACUUUGGCUGAGAAGAGUCCAGGUUCGAGCCCUGGUCGGCCAA